GCUUAAACCCCAGCCGCGCGGCGUGCAGAGCGUUGAUGCCGGCGCUAAAACCAGACCAAGGGGGGCUCCAGAGCGCGGCAUGGAGGGGCUGGCCUAGCUGAGGCCCGUGACCCGAUGUCUUCUGGCUGCGACGCCGGUCCUGCGUACACUGCGGGGCCGCAGCCGCGGGGCGGUGGGCGCCCGAGGGGCCGGGAGGCGAGCCGGGGCCUCCAGGAGGGUGUGGGCAUCGUGUCCUCAGCCAGCGUCUCCGAGGCUGCGCUCGGGCCAUGAUCAUUCGGUGAAGCUGCGCCGGGACAGUGCGGCCGACUUCUUCUCGCGCUCUGAGGACCUGUGCGCGCUGCAGGGCUCGGUGCCUCUGCCCGCCGUGCGCGCUUCCCUGCGGAAGGCCCUGCUGGAGUUAAGGCCUCCGCGGGGUAGACUGGGUGCCGCUCCUGAGCACCCUCUGCCCCUGAUCUGUAUCUAGAGCUUCUUCCAGCCACGGCUUGGCGAGACAGGUUGUGGCAGAAAUAAAGUUUACAGAAGUUGUGUUCCUGCGAUAAGAAAUACAGAUGUGACCUUGCAGUUGUGUAAAGCUCUUAAUUGCUGUGUAAGUGCGUCAGUGCGCUAAGGAACCUGGAGCUAAAUGGGCUAGUUCUGAGAGAGAGAGACUUAACUAUGUUAACAAAGGUCCAUCAGAAUUUCCUGUGACUGUGACAGUAGAGAGUCCUUCCUCCUCAGAAAAUGAAGAGGUCAAUGAGUCCUCAGAAAGUGUUCAGGAAGAGCCAGAGAAAAUGAGUUUGAAACAAGAAGCAUUGCCGGGACAAAGUUAUCACUUGAAAGCUAUAGAGAAGAUUAUCUUUCAAACGGAAGCCUGAUUGCAAUACGGCAAAGCUUGUGUGAGGGUUCUGUUUUCUCUUCCCGUCUGCAUUGUAUCCCCUUGAAUGGUUCCUUAAGCUUAGACCAGGGUGAAUGGUGGACAUUUGAACUCUAGGAAAUAAAAAUCAAAACAUGUCAUUAGUAAUAUAUUUUCCUUUCCUUAGAACCUUAGUAUAUUAGAUUUAGGGAGAACCUUAGUGAUCAUAAGAUAAAGAAAUUGAGUUCUGAAUGAAUGUAGUCAGCUGAUUCAGUGCUCUUGUUUUACAGGUGAGAAAAUUGACAGUUCUAGUUGAACUCUCUUUUUACAAGAGGAAAAUAUGGCCUCAUUUUAAAUAAAAGUAAAGUUGAAAAAAGUUUUCAUGUUGCUAUUCUCCUUUCCUAAAAUAAAAAAUAUCAAGAAGCUACAUUCUGUUACCAAAUAAACCUGACCUCUAAUGUCAUUCCAUACUUUUGUUUGUAUGGACAGAAAAGAAAAAUUGAUUUUCAUAAGAAAUUUUUGCACCUAGAAAAUAAUAUAUUUAUUUUAUUUCAACUUUAAUGAAGAGCUGAACAUUUCUAGUAAAUAAAGGAACACCAUUUGUGGGGGACCUUGUCUUUGUGCUACAAAGUGCAUGUUUAAUUUUUAAAAAUUAUUUAAUAUGAUUUUCUUUUCGUAUGAAACAUGAAACUUGACCGGUUUCAGAACUAAUUAUCCCAUUAUUGUAGGACUAUGACAGUUAACUCUUUGAUUUUCAAAAGUUAGAUUUUUAUUUUUUUAAGUAAAAUUAAUGAUAAUAUAGAGAAAUUUUAAGAAAAAACUUAGAAAAUUAUGAAAUGUUAGAGUAGGAGAAAUCUAUAGUUCAUGUAGACCCCCCCUCUUUCAUUUUAUAAAUGAGCACCUACAAUUUUUAGCACAUAAGUGGUUUAUUAGUAAAUGGCAGAGUACGACAAGACCCUAGAGCAUCUAAGCGCCUUCCUUGUCAUUUUAGAUGUGCUGUAUUCAUUUCCUUCAUGAGUAGACCAGGAGGUUGUAUUUCUAGUAGUAAUGAUAGACACUGGGGAAGACCAAGAAGUUUACACACUGGGACCACAGAAUAGCAGAUUCAGAAUGCACUGAGAACGCUUUCAGCUCUUCUCUGUUUUGCCAAGACACUACAAGGAUGGUAUCAAUGUGUUUAAGUAUAUAAGCCCACAACAAUCAAGAGAUUUCAACAUAGUUUUGAAAGACGGAAGACAAGUGGAAGAGUGUGAAACUGAAGCAGUAGAACAGAGGAAAAGCAUCACCUAGAGUAUGCACAGGGACCACCUGCAACUGAGGAGGAUUCUGACCCCACCUGAAGAAGCUUGGGCAGCUGGCCACAAUGGCUGGUAUAGAUCAGUCAGAUUUUCAUUUACUAGGUCAUCCCGAGAUGAAUUCUACUGUUAGUAGUCCACGUAAAGAAGAAAAGAAGGCACUUGAAGAAGAAAAAUCAGAAUCAAAAC